CUUUCUCCUCAGAUCUCCAGGCUCAAAGCGUCAGUCCACCAGCUGAACUCUCAGUCAGACUGGUGGAUGGGACCACUUCCUGUUCUGGGACAGUGGAAGUCUUCCACGAAGGAGAGUGGUUGGGUCUAUGUUCUGUGUUGUGGAGCAUGAGAGAUGUUAUGGUUGUGUGUAGAGCGCUGGACUGUGGGAAUCCGUGGAGCUGAAUCUAGAGGACCUCUGAUUGAAGAUGGAAGAAGAAGAGUCUAUCUAUAUAGUAGUUGCUAUGGAAAUGAGUCUUCUAUUAGACAGUGUGACAUCAUAGGAGAACCUGGUGACUGUAUUGGUAGAUAUUAUCAUCAUGUGACCUGUUCAGAGUCUGUGCGGCUUGUGGAUGGAGCUGGUCUCUGCUCUGGGAGAGUGGAGGUGAAGUCCAAUCAGUCCUGGGCCUCAGUGUGUGAAGCUGACUUUGACCGGCAGGAUGCAGAGGUAGUCUGUGGGGAGCUUGGCUGUGGGGCUCCUGCAGCUCUACAGGGGGGCUCUAUGGAGAAGGUGGGGGUCAGACCUGGGAUAAAGAGUUCCAGUGUAAAGGCAAAGAGUCCCUUCUCCUGGACUGUGACACCUCAGACAGAGAAAACAACACCUGUCUACCUGGUAAUGCUGUUGGACUCACCUGCUCAGAGCCUGAUGAUGUGAGGCUGGUGGGAGGAGGCAGUCGCUGUGCUGGUGGAGUGGAGCGGUACGACCAGGGAGAGUGGAGGACUGUGGGAGCUAGAGACUGGGAGGAUGUAGCUGCAGUAGUGUGUAGACAGCUGGGUUGUGGCUCCACUGUUUCAGUUCUACCUGGAAACACCACUGGAUGGUUUGGAGUUUACUGUUCUGGCUCUGAGUCUGUACUGAGGGAGUGUUCCAGAAUUUAUAAUCUCUAUUCUGGAUUCACAGUGAUCUGCUCAGAUCUCCUGGUCCAGCCUGAUAUCUCCCUGACUGA